rnacentral:lncRNA from 1 species
AGUAGAUCCAAGAGAAGAAUUUCAGAGCCUACUAUCAACCCAAGGGAAAAGCCAGAAGUAGCCGUAUGUCUCCAACCACAGGAAAUCAAAGGAGCCUUCAUGCAUUUCUGGUGGACGUGAAGACAGCUGUAUUCAUUUUGCAGAAAAACAUGACAAUACCUAGUCAAGGGUAUCCUGUUUUGCUGCCUCAAUGCCUCAGAAUUUUGAUGUCGUUGGUGUCAGACACCACCUUGCUGUCUACGAUCUUGCGGGUGAUGGUCUUCUGGAUGGUCUGCAAGGAGUUGCUGUUGUCCAGGGCAUCAGUAAGACUGAAGUCCUCCCUGUCUUCCAACAGGCGACAGCAGGUGUCGACCUCCCUCAGGCUGUUCUCCAAGCUGGCCUUCAGGUUUCUCAUUGAGUCCAGGUUGAUCUCCAAGGACUGGGCCGUCUGUCCAUCUCAGCUCCAUGAGGGUCAUCUCAGCUUCUCCUAUCUCAGCGGUCUGUGUGGUGACCACUGUGGUGCUCUCCUUGAUCUGCUGGGACCAGUACUUGUCCAGCUCCUUCCAGUUCUUCUAAGCCAGCUUGUCAUACUGGGCCUGGAUAUUUGCCAUGAUCUUGCUGAGGUCCUGAGAUUUGGGGGCAUCCAACUCCACUGUCAACCAGAGUUGGCGGUUUGGUUUUGUAGACCCUUUACUUCCUCCUCAUGGUUCUUCUUCAUGAAGAGCAGCUCCUCCUUGAGAGCCUCGAUCUCUGUCUCUAACUUCAGCUGAGUGACAUUGGUGUCAUCAAUGACCUUGUAGAGCCCAUGAAUGUCACUCUCCACAGACUGGCGCAUGGCCAGCUCCAUCUCAUACUUGAUUCGGAAGUCAUCAGCAGCAAGCCGGGCGUUGUCAAUCUGCAGAACGACGCGGGCAUUGUGUCAAUGUCUAUUUUGAUGUCUUAUGUUAUUUCUGUUGUUUCCUAGACUUCUUAAAAAUUACCCCCACCCCACAAAUAUACUUCUACUUGAUCAAAUUAAUGACAUAGGACACAUAUUGUCAUUCUUUGCUUCUGAAACUCAAAUAAAUGUCUCCUCUACAGGGAGUGUUAAUCUGCC